rnacentral:rRNA from 1 species
GAUGAACGCUGGCGGCGUGCCUAAUACAUGCAAGUCGAGCGAACAGAUAAGGAGCUUGCUCCUUUGACGUUAGCGGCGGACGGGUGAGUAACACGUGGGUAACCUACCUAUAAGACUGGAAUAACUCCGGGAAACCGGGGCUAAUGCCGGAUAACAUUUAGAACCGCAUGGUUCUAAAGUGAAAGAUGGUUUUGCUAUCACUUAUAGAUGGACCCGCGCCGUAUUAGCUAGUUGGUAAGGUAACGGCUUACCAAGGCAACGAUACGUAGCCGACCUGAGAGGGUGAUCGGCCACACUGGAACUGAGACACGGUCCAGACUCCUACGGGAGGCAGCAGUAGGGAAUCUUCGGCAAUGGGCGAAAGCCUGACGGAGCAACGCCGCGUGAGUGAUGAAGGUCUUCGGAUCGUAAAACUCUGUUAUUAGGGAAGAACAAAUGUGUAAGUAACUGUGCACGUCUUGACGGUACCUAAUCAGAAAGCCACGGCUAACUACGUG